rnacentral:sRNA from 1 species
AGUUGGAGCGUAUAGCCAAACGGUUCGGUUUUCUAUCCAAGUAACGCUUGCAUGAGUUUCGUUACGUGUCGUGUUCGUCCGUCGUCGUGUAAUUCGUGUAAAAUACCUAUCUAUCAGCAAUUAAAAUAAAAAAAGAAAAUAAUUGUGUGUGUGAAGUUUUUCUCUGCUUCUUCUUCCUAUAAAUUUAGUGUUUAAUUUGGUUUUAUUAAAAGUCGGGUUUUUAAGCCGUCAUUUGACAAUAUUUUAUCAACAACAACAACUACAAUUAUCCAUAGCCAUAACAACAGGAACGAAAACAACUACAGCAUAACGAAGAAGGCACGACAAUGAUAGUAGUAACAGCAGCAACAACAACAACAACGACCAAUUAACGGACGGGUUUUGUGAGUGCUGUGUUUCUGUUGUAGUAUUUCGUUUUCGUUACUAUUCUCCACGAGUUCAAAGAGCCAAAAUUGUAGCUUUUUUUGUUUUUAUUGUAAUGAAGCAAUGAAGAAUAAUACCAAGUAAAGGUAGUGGAGAAAAAAACGACGCUCAUGUGAAAGAAUUGUGCAAAUAAACAAAAGAAAAGCCUCGAAUUAAAUUUCUCCCCCAAAACAAAUUGAAAUCAAAAGUGUUUUCUUCCUCUACCAUGGACUUUAUCUCGUCGUCGUCGUCGUUUUCGUCUAGGGUGGACAGGCGGGAGAGAUGCUGUUAAAACCAGAGCAGCAAACAUAACCAGCAAAUAAAACAAGUGCAAGGCAAUUCGUUAGUUAAGAUUUUUCGUAUUCGUUUGUUAGCUCGUACUCUAUACCACACAACACGCCAGAGUUGUAGUACUCCACAUCUCCAGGCUGGCUCGUAAUUUUGCUCGUCGUAGUCGUCAGCAUCGUCGUCUUCGUCGUUUAUAGUUUAUUAAACUCCGGUUUCGGUUGUUCUUUGCGGGCAAAAGAAGCAAAGUGUAAUUGUGUAUUAUCGUGCGAGUGUGUGUGUGUAUGUAUGUAUAUAUGUUAUGGGUCAUGGUGUCCCAACCCAGUAAUACGAGGAGCUCAAAUAGUGGUAGAAGAAGAGGAAGAAAAAAUAUUCUUCCAUGACAUCUGGCCGUUCAAAAAGCCUUGCAAAGUGUUUUUUUUCCAAGCAAACAAAAAAAAAUCUUGUGCUGUUCCUCUCGACCCACCGGAAUCCAAUGGAGCUGUUUCCUAUUUAAAAAAUACUUUCCAUUGUUGAGAAUUUGAUGGGACAGCACGUUUUGCCAACACUCUCCACCUGUCCGACUGGCGACGCGGCGUUAAUGAAUUCGAUUUACUGGCCAUCGAAAAAAAGAAGAGAAUUAUAAAUAAUAAUCACCUGCAGUUUGAAUAUUACUAAUCGAAAAAAAGAGGAAUAUAUGAGACGUCAUUUUUCGGUUUGGGGUUUAUUUUUUAUUGACUUUUUGAAAAAAAAAAAACAAACCCUACAAAAAUUUCAAUUCCAUUUCAAUCAAUUUGCAAAAAAAAACGAAACGUGUAAAAAAGCCAUCGACGUAUAUGAAAGCGGCGGCGGCGAUGACAAUGAACUACAAAAUCCAACUUCAAAACCGCUAAGCAAAAAAAGCGAAAGAAAAAAACAAAAGUGAAAAUAAAUUCAAUUUGCAUAAUUCUGAUUGAAAAAAAAAAAAAAAACGAAUAUGUUAUUUGUGUGUGUUCGCGGUUUAUUAGAGAACGUUGUGUCUAUGUUUUCGUGUGAUUUUCGCGCCCAGAAAUUAAAUUUAAUUUUGUUGAUUCUUUGAGCGCAGGAAAAUCAAAUAGAAAAAUCAAAAAUAAAAUAAAUUUUAAAGCAAUUGUUGUGCGUACGUCUGUGUGUGUGCGUGUGUGUAUGCGUGUAAUCUGGAAUCCCAUUACCAUGCAACAAUAAUUGUGGAAACUUCUGCCAACGUUCUGGCAAAAAACAAUUGAAUUUGUCAUUGUCGACAUAUUUACUGGGACUGGUGUGACGUUCCGCGUCACUACUGCGACAAGGCUAGGGUUUUUCGAUUUGUUUGUUUGUUUGCUUGCGACCCACUCACAACUGAAUUCUUUGGCCUAACUUCUGAUUCAUUUGUUAUUCCAGCAACGUUGCAAUAUUAAAACAACCAUAACUACGAGCGUUUCCAAAUACUCGCCUCUUUGCCUCUCUCUCUCCAUCACAAUUUCAAGCCUGAUUGGUGUUAAAAAUUCUUUGAGCAAUUCACGCACGAGACCUAAAGCCCACCAUUUACCCAGCCAGGCAGCCAACUUUUAUGGGUUACCCAGUCACAGAGAAUUCACAGAACGAACCAACGAAUGAACGAACGAGGCAAACAAUCGAAUCAUUGAAUUGUGUGUCAAUUUGUUUGUUAACAUCAUAGCCGGCAUUUUUCGCCACACAAUUUGUUGCAAUCAAGUGUUGGCGAGGCUACGCUGCCGUUUACUGUCGAGGACACUUAAAGAAUGCUUAAUAUUUAGAGAACGUUUUUGGGUCCUCCGAACCAACUCCACUUCCAGCCUUGGCAAACUUAAUUUCGUUAUCAUAACCUUACUUGGGCAAUUUAUUUUUUUUUUUUUGUGGAGCUUUUCACAAGCUCUCCAAUGGGAGAGGUUUGAGUGGGGGUGGGUAGAGGAAAAUUUUCAAAUUAAAUCAAUUCAAUUGUUUGCUAUUUGAAAAUUUGUUUUGUUUGAUUUCCGUUUCCGUUCGGCGGUCGCCACUUAACAAUUCAAGUGAUCGAAGUCCUUGUUCUGCCACCUCUUUUUCACUUAAUUUCGCUGGGAACACAGACGUGACAUCAU